rnacentral:rRNA from 1 species
GACGAACGCUGGCGGCGUGCUUAACACAUGCAAGUCGAGCGAGCGGCGAACGGGUGAGUAACACGUGAGGAACCUGCCUUUCACAGGGGAAUAACACUGGGAAACCAGUGCUAAUACCGCAUAGUGAAAGAUGGCCUCGCGCCUGAUUAGCUAGUAGGUGAGGUAACGGCUCACCUAGGUGAUGAUCAGUAGCCGGACUGAAGGUUGAUCGGCCGCAUUGGUACUGAGACACGGGCCAGACGCCUACGGGAGGCAGCAGUGGUGAAUAUUGCACAAUGUGGAAACCCUGAUGCAGCAGCGCCGCGUGCGGGAUUACGGCCUUCGGGUUGUAAACCGCUUCAGCCAUGACGCGGUAGUGGCAGAAGAAGCACCGGCUAACUACGUGCCAGCAGCCGCGGUAAUAC